UUGGUGCGGACACGGCGGUGCUGACCGUGCCAGGGCUCCCGGCGUGUCCCCCCCCAGCAGAAAAGCGAUUUCGCUCGGGAGCUGCCGUGGAUUUGGGUGAGAAGGCGGAGCAGCGCCGAGGGAAGCCGCGCCGAGUCCUUGGGGGACCCGGCUCUGCUCGCUAAGGCAGUUCUGUAAAAAUAGCAGCAAAACUUAAAUGCUGGUCGAGUGAGGAAUAUAAAUGUUGAAAUAGCAGCAAAGGUAUGGCUGGAGGAGAUCAGAAGUCGCUUGCUCAGCACCUUGGCGCUGCAAGGGUUCUUGAGCCCUGGCAGAUCCCCUCGCUCCUCGCCAGGGCGCUGGGACCUGGGCUGCACGGACGGGAACAUCUCAUUCUCUUCGGAGCCGAGGAUUUUUAAACCCUUGGAGUUACCUGAAGGUGCCUUUGGUGGUUUGGAGGAAUUGCCCUGGUGUCUGUGGAAGAAUAACAGAUACACCGAUGACUUUGGGGUUAACUGCCAAACAGAUACACCAGUUGCAUUAAAUUUAUUCUAAAAAUGGGAAAACUGGAGAGGCACAACUUUUUGUCUUUUUCCUGGCAAUCCUGACGUGCUGUUUCCCAAGGAAGUGGAAAAGCCUUAGAAACCAAUGUUCCAAAAUACGGAAGACUCAGUGAGAAAUUUUCCAGAGCAAAUCAUCAGUAGUAAGAAAUUAUUGCUGAAUUUUCUGUUUUUUGGGGUUUUUUCUUUUGAAGUGAGGAGUAACUUCGCUCGGAAUGCAUUUAUCCGGGAAGUAAUCCUUAAUGCGCUCCACUCCGAGCACCGAGCCUGCAUGUGAGAUUGAGGAAGGUUUAAUUAAAUGUAAUCAAAUAUUACAGCAUUCCUGAUUAAAAGGCAUAGCGCUUGCUUUUGGUGACGUACGAGA